GUAUUUUUCCAAUGCCGCCCAUGCCAACAAUGCAGUUAGCAAACACGCAUCUUCUUAGUUGUUUCAUGCUUUUGGGAAACUUCAUAUUCUCAUAUAGAUCUGUUGGUAAAAGAAACAAAGAGAAAUUGUACUUGGUGGCAGAUUCACUCAAACCUAAACAUUUUCAUAUUUCAAGCACCGAACAAAAUUAAAAACAGCUAAAUUCAGCAUUUUGACACGCGAAAUUAAAAUAGUAAUAGAAAGAAUGUAUUCCUGCUGCUACAUCAACGUGAAGGCCAAUAUAUUUUACAUGCUUGAACCGCGAAAUUACUUAUCUCUGUAAAUAAAUCCACAACAACAGGGGGGAAAUGAGAAAAGAAGGCACAACCUCUAAGUGAUGUAGCCAAACGACGACGUAUUUGGGUGUGGAACCUUGUUUAUAGCUGGAGCAAGUAGAGUAACCGGAGUUGGUGGCCGCGUGUCAAUCCACUCCAAAUUCUCUAGCGGUUUGCCCAGUGUACAAUGUUUAAUCUAAAAGUUGGCUAAAUUUUGGUUAAUACCUAUUGUUCAACAUUAUCCAUGAAUUAAGCAAUGAAGAUAAGACUUUCUAGUCUGUACAGAUUCUGCACAAAAAUAAAAAAUAAAAAGAAUACAACUAUUGCUGUAUGCUUCUCAAGCUGAAGAUUCAGACGCAUAAGAAAGAAAUGAGUUAAUUUUUACCGUAAAUAAUUUACAUGCUAGUAAAUCUAAACUAACUAGAUUUGCAUUGAAGAAUUUCCAACACCAUAAUUUGUUUUCUUUGUCUAAUGUUGGAUUAUUUUGAUAGACCUACAAAAUAUUCGUAGUAUUUUUUUAGAUCUAAAAGAUGCUCGACUCAAACGGUGGAUUCUUUGGUAAGGCCAAAAAAAUAUAAAAUCAAACUUCCAAAACACCCAAAUAGCCUACCGCUUACCUGUUGUUGGUUAGUUGAGCGUUGGAAACUGCUGCUACUGCGGAGUGGGGCCGACGGAGGAGAAGCGGUGGGGCUGCUGUCAACAGAGAUAUUCAAGUGCCUGAGAUUCAGCAAAAUGAACUAAUCUGCUUUAUGCAUUCAGCAAGAGUGAAUUCUUCCAGCAAGACCGAUUAGGUGAAGUUCGAGAGAUUUAUUUUUGUGAUGUAUAAUGGAUUCAGCCAACAAAAAUAUUGCAUAUACCUUAAGCUUUAGGGAGAGACAGUGGUGGUGAUAGCUGAGGCGGCCAAAUGCAGAUGUGAGACGGAUGUGGUGGCGGCUGAGGCAGCGCCGUGUCGUAGUGGAGCUAGUGGUGCAGCGAGUCGAGGUAACCGGUGCCGGGUCGGUGGCAAACGGCGGCGGCUGAGAGUUGUGGAUUUGUGGCCUGGGCGGGUAUGAAGAAUGGAGGCGC
rnacentral:lncRNA from 1 species